rnacentral:rRNA from 1 species
AAUCAACGCUGGCGGCGUGCCUCAGACAUGCAAGUCGAACGCGAAAGUUCCCUUCGGGGAGCAAGUAGAGUGGCGUCCGGGUGAGUAACACGUAGGUAAUCUACCUUUGGGUGGGGAAUAACAACCGGAAACGGUUGCUAAUACCGCAUAAUGCAGCGGCACCGCAUGGUGACAGUUGUUAAAGCGGGGGAUCGCAAGACCUCGCGCCUAAAGAGGAGCCUGUGGCGGAUUAGCUAGUUGGCAGGGUAACGGCCUACCAAGGCAACGAUCCGUAGCCGGCCUGAGAGGGCGGUCGGCCACACUGACACUGAAAUACGGGUCAGACUCC